ACGAAGGGUGCAAGCGUUACUCGGAAUUACUGGGCGUAAAGCGUGCGUAGGUGGUUCGUUAAGUCUGAUGUGAAAGCCCUGGGCUCAACCCGGGAAUGGCAUUGGAAACUGGCGACCUAGAGUGCGGUAGAGGGUAGUGGAAUUCCCGGUGUAGCAGUGAAAUGCGUAAAGAUCGGGAGGAACACCAGUGGCGAAGGCGACUACCUGGACCAGCACUGACACUGGGGCACGAAAGCGUGGGGAGCAAACAGGA
rnacentral:rRNA from 1 species